UUUCGAUGGUAGGAUAGAGGCCUACCAUGGCGUUAACGGGUAACGGAGAAUUAGGGUUCGAUUCCGGAGAGGGAGCCUGAGAAAUGGCUACCACAUCCAAGGAAGGCAGCAGGCGCGUAAAUUGCCCGAAUCCUGACACAGGGAGGUAGUGACAAGAAAUAACAAUACAGGGCUACUUCUAGUCUUGUAAUUGGAAUGAGUACAACUKACAUCUCUUCACGAGGAUCAACUGGAGGGCAAGUCUGGUGCCAGCAGCCGCGGUAAUUCCAGCUCCAGAAGCGUAUAUUAAAGUUGUUGCAGUUAAAACGCUCGUAGUCGGGUUUCGGGUCGGGCCGAGCGGUCUGCCGAUGGGUAUGCACUGUUUGGCGCGGCCUUCUUUCCGGAGACCGCGGCUACUCUUAACUGAGCGGGCGUGGGAGACGGAUCGUUUACUUUGAAAAAAUCAGAGUGUUUCAAGCAGGCAGCUCGCUCUUGCAUGGUACAGCAUGGGAUGAUUGAAUAGGACUCCGGUGCUAUUUUGUUGGUUUCGAACACCAGGAGUAAUGAUUAACAGGGACAGUCAGGGGCACUCGUAUUCCGUCGAGAGAGGUGAAAUUCUCAGACCAAUGGAAGACGAACCACUGCGAAAGCAUUUGCCAGGGAUGUUUUCACUGAUCAAGAACGAAAGUUAGGGGAUCGAAGACGAUCAGAUACCGUCGUAGUCUUAACCAUAAACCAUGCCGACUAGGGAUUGGAGGGUGUUCGUUUCGACCUCUUCAGCACCUUACGGGAAACUAAAGUCUUUGGGUUCCGGGGGGAGUAUGGUCGCAAGGCUGAAACUUAAAGGAAUUGACGGAAGGGCACCACCAGGAGUGGAGCCUGCGGCUUAAUUUGACUCAACACGGGGAAACUUACCAGGUCCAGACAUUGUUAGGAUUGACAGAUUGAGAGCUCUUUCUUGAUUCGAUGGGUGGUGGUGCAUGGCCGU
rnacentral:rRNA from 1 species